GGUCAUCUCCGGUUCUACAAGAGGUAAACUGAACUCUGCAGGGUAAAACCCCUCCAACCAGCUGGAGCUGACAGUGCCAUGAGUCUGACCCUGCUUCUCAGGAGCCCUGAGACCUGGAACAAACUCCCCAACUUCUCGGAUCUGUCUCAUCUCAAACAUGGCCUGAUAAAAACUCCAGUAUGUUACCAGAAAUCACGGGUCUACUGAGGAUCAUUUCUCAACUCCUCCAGAUGAAGAAGAGCAAAAAAAAAAGAAUCAAAC